UCCUUUUCUGGUUGUUUUGCAUAUUAUUCUAUUCACAUUAAGUCUGAUUUGCUCCAUUUAAGUUGUAAAUAAAAAGCAAUUCUUUUCAAUUUUUUACAGCCAUGAAAGGCACACUCCCCUCUCCCCCACCACUUUCUCCCCUGAUGUAAUUAUCUCUGAAGCUAAUUGGUAUAACUACAUUUAUACGAAAUGGAUAUUUCUAUUUAAAAAGAUAAACCAAUAUUUACACAGCCCACGUCUGUGGACUAGGAUGGAGAGACUGAUUUUCAACAAUGCAACAGCAGAGGGAAGCUUUGUCCUGGAACAGUCUCAAGGAUAGAUGCUUCGACCUUUCUCCUCCCCUUCAGACUGCAUGGUUACACGACAGUAAAGUGGGAUUGCAGUGCGUGUGGAGCACCAACCUUCUCCAAUAUACAGACUCAUCCAGAGUGUGGAGUUUUCAGCAGAUGAGUUAACCCUUCACUCCCCUAUCUGGAAAUCCCAUCAAGGCACGCACAGCAAGGUCUUAAGAAAUAAUUGAUGCCAAUGUUAUAUUAAGAAACUGCAACUUCUUACCUAUGGGCAAACAAUUGAGAGUCUGGUCAGCUGGAAGCCCUUUUGUCUCCAACCCACACACUCUCCUCAAGUAGCACUGCUGAUGGUUCAAGAUGAAGUAGAUUGGAUCUCAAAUUUAAUUCAACAUUAUACAAAUGAUACUGCCUUUGGUAGAUUAUUUUAUUAACUGCAAUCUAUGUUUGCGUUGUCUGCUUGAGUAAACAGUGAGAGAGUAAGUUACCAGUUAGCUACCAGUGGAUUAGUAUGUCCACAUUCACUCUAUCUAAAUGCAUGGACUGCAAUGUA